ACCUCUGCAAUAGGCGAAAGCCUGACAGGGUUACUCUGAGUGAUGCCCGCUAAGGGUAUCUUUUGGCACCUCUAAAAAUGGUGCAGAAUAAGGGGUGGGCAAGUCUGGUGUCAGCCGCCGCGGUAAUACCAGCACCCCGAGUUGUCGGGACGAUUAUUGGGCCUAAAGCAUCCGUAGCCUGUUCUACAAGUCCUCCGUUAAAUCCACCUGCUCAACAGAUGGGCUGCGGGGGAUACUAUAGGGCUAGGAGGCGGGAGAGGCAAACGGUACUCAGUGGGUAGGGGUAAAAUCCAUUGAUCUACUGAAGACCACCAGUGGCGAAGGCGGUUUGCCAGAACGCGCUCGACGGUGAGGGAUGAAAGCUGGGGGAGCAAACCGGAUUAGAUACCCGGGUAGUCCCAGCUGUAAACGAUGCAGACUCGGUGAUGGGUUGGCUUCGCGCCAACCCAGUGCCGCAGGGAAGCCGUUAAGUCUGCCGCCUGGGGAGUACGGUCGCAAGACUGAAACUUAA
rnacentral:rRNA from 1 species